rnacentral:tRNA from 1 species
CGACUUGGCUCAACGGCAGAGCAAUCGCUUCGUAAGCGAUAGGUUGCAGGUUCGAAUCCCGCAGUCGGC